CAACCAAAGACAUAACAUGGAUUAAUUCCUUCAAAUUCUAAAUCUAAUUAAUGAAUUUCAAUUUGUUUAACAAAUUCAAAUUCCAUCCAAAAUAAUCGUGAACCAAACCUACUAAAUAAUGAAUAUCAUGUUACAACAUUGUUGAAUCGGCAACACUCUCGCCUCGCUCUCACACAGAUAGCGAUGUUCAAGGGCUAGAAGCACAAUCAAACUCAAUUCCUGACUUCUGGUAGUGGUCGAGGGCAAUGCUUCAUAUUGCGCUCAGUUGCUCCACCGCGCUGCUCCGAGAGCCACAUUUAUUGUUUCUAACGGAUCAUCUUUCCAUGGUAUCUUUAUUAGACAUUCCGGAUCAAAAUUUGAAUAAGAAAUAAUGUGAGGUGUUCGAAGGCCUUCUUAAAAUCACCCGUAUUGGAAAUUAGACAGAAACAUCUCCAAACCAACGCUCAUUGUUCAUUUGUCAUGGUUAGAUCUUGUACUUCCAUCAUCCUCCUCCUCAAUUUCUUAUUCCGUCAGUAGAUAUAACAGAGCUUUAUAUAAAUCUUUCAAGUUACAUUGUCUUUGUUUUGGUUUAUUUCAUUAUUAUUAUUAUGAUGAUGUUUUUUUAAUUCAGUUCUCAAUCUUUAGAAUGUUAUACUUGAUUAUGUUCCUAAAAUUUUCCUUCUUUCAUUGUGUUUUUUUGGCGAAUGUGGUCAUCUUACAUCACGUAGUCAAGGUAUUUGAUGAAAUGCUUAUGCUGUUUUUUACAUUGGUUCAUAUGGUAUUGUCUAUCCAGGUGAUUGGGGAGAUUUUUAUCUGAGCUAUAUAGUAUAUUCUUCUGGGACUCUUUUUAUAAACCAAAUAUUCCAUUUCCAUGCUUUUAGUAAGUGGAAUAAGAUAAUUAUACCUGCAACUUGAUGCACCACUUUUAUUGUGAUACAAAUUAUUCUACAACAAAUUUUAGAUAUUCUGUUACCGAUGAACCCAAUAAUCUGAAAGUUAUGCAGCUUUCAGAUUUUUAGAGACCUCAAAAUGAUCAGAAAAGAGAUAGUUUCUUUCUUGUUGGAGUUUUUUUUUUUAUUCUUACUGUUGUAUACAACCUUAAUUUCUUGUAAUUUUCUAAGCUUGAAUAUAACUUUGGUAAUCUUUCUGGUGAACAUAGGUGUGUGAACUGUUUGGUAUGGUGGGUCCCUCAAUGUUAACAUAUUAAAAAAUAAAAUUAAGUAAAAAAAAAAAGAUAAAUCUAUUAAAAUGGUAUAUAUAGAUA